CACCCACGGGCCGUAUUGAACUCUAAAUCGGUCGACUCUCCCGUAACCCAACCCCAGCCCACGCGCGAAGAUCUCUCUUCGUCUUGCACGGCCUCGAAGGGAGACCUAGAUCUAUUUUUGCCCCUAUAUAUGCUGGUCAGACCGAGAGCAAACCUCAAAUCCCAGCCCUGAAACCCUAGCCGCAAUCUGCCUCGACUUCUUUCCAACCUUCAUCCAUGGGACUUAUUGGUUUAGGGACUUAAAAAAGUCCCUAAGUCCCAUCUAAACCAAACAGAGGGACUUAUAGGGACUUAAAUUGGGCACUUGGGACUUAUGAAAUAAGAAUCUCAAGGAUGUAGGGACUUAUAGUUGUAAUAUGGUUUUUUUAGUCCAUCUUAAGUCUCAGGAACCAAACAGGCAGGGAAUUUUUAGGGACUUAGUUGGGACUAAAAAAAUCCUAGUACUUGUGAACCAAACAGGGCCUCAAUUUAUUCCGGAAUCUGGAUUCUGCCGCAGCUUCUGCUAGACCUUCAUAUGUUGAUAAAGUUGGUGGACUGCUGCACGCCCUAAAGCUGUCUGAUCUCCAUGUCCUCGACUGAGCAGUGCUUGGUUAAAUAAUUGCUGAAUUGAUUUUGGCUGCUGGUCUAACUUGGUCAUGCAUGGCAUAUCAAGGGAAAGAGCUGUAAUUUGUUUGGAAGUUGUGACUUUUUGGGUUUGUUAUUCAGAGGUCUGUACUCAUGA